AAUUUCAACUAAGUUCUAAUUUAAUCCUAGUUGAAAUCUUAAUAAAAUUCAAUCAAAUCCUAAACAAAUCCUAAAUCAAAUCCUAACCAAAUCCUAAAUCCUAAACCAAAUCCUAAAUCCUAUACCAAAUCCUAACUAAACUCUAAACCAAACUCUAAACCAAAUCCUAACCAAAUUCUAACCAAAUCCUAAUCCUAACCAAAUUCUAACCAAAUCCUAAUCAAAACCUAGAUCCUAAAUCAAAUUCUAAUGAAAUCCUAAAUCCUAAAUCAAAUCCUAAUCAUUUUUUAAACCUUAAACCAAAUCCUAACCAAAAUCUAAUCUCUAAAUCAAAUCCUAACAAAUUCUAAAUCCUAAAUCAAAUCCUAACCAA
rnacentral:lncRNA from 1 species